rnacentral:rRNA from 1 species
GGCGGACGGGUGAGUAAUGUCUGGGAAACUGCCUGAUGGAGGGGGAUAACUACUGGAAACGGUAGCUAAUACCGCAUAACGUCGCAAGACCAAAGAGGGGGACCCUCGGGCCUCUUGCCAUCGGAUGUGCCCAGAUGGGAUUAGCUUGUUGGUGGGGUAACGGCUCACCAAGGCGACGAUCCCUAGCUGGUCUGAGAGGAUGACCAGCCACACUGGAACUGAGACACGGUCCAGACUCCUACGGGAGGCAGCAGUGGGGAAUAUUGCACAAUGGGCGCAAGCCUGAUGCAGCCAUGCCGCGUGUAUGAAGAAGGCCUUCGGGUUGUAAAGUACUUUCAGCGGGGAGGAAGGGAGUAAAGUUAAUACCUUUGCUCAUUGACGUUACCCGCAGAAGAAGCACCGGCUAACUCCGUGCCAGCAGCCGCGGUAAUACGGAGGGUGCAAGCGUUAAUCGGAAUUACUGGGCGUAAAGCGCACGCAGGCGGUUUGUUAAGUCAGAUGUGAAAUCCCCGGGCUCAACCUGGGAACUGCAUCUGAUACUGGCAAGCUUGGGUCUCGUAGAGGGGGGUAGAAUUCCAGGUGUAGCGGUGAAAUGCGUAGAGAUCUGGAGGAAUACCGGUGGCGAAGGCGGCCCCCUGGACGAAGACUGACGCUCAGGUGCGAAAGCGUGGGGAGCAAACAGGAUUAGAUACCCUGGUAGUCCACGCCGUAAACGAUGUCGACUUGGAGGUUGUGCCCUUGAGGCGUGGCUUCCGGAGCUAACGCGUUAAGUCGACCGCCUGGGGAGUACGGCCGCAAGGUUAAAACUCAAAUGAAUUGACGGGGGCCCGCACAAGCGGUGGAGCAUGUGGUUUAAUUCGAUGCAACGCGAAGAACCUUACCUGGUCUUGACAUCCACGGAAGUUUUCAGAGAUGAGAAUGUGCCUUCGGGAACCGUGAGACAGGUGCUGCAUGGCUGUCGUCAGCUCGUGUUGUGAAAUGUUGGGUUAAGUCCCGCAACGAGCGCAACCCUUAUCCUUUGUUGCCAGCGGUCCGGCCGGGAACUCAAAGGAGACUGCCAGUGAUAAACUGGAGGAAGGUGGGGAUGACGUCAAGUCAUCAUGGCCCUUACGACCAGGGCUACACACGUGCUACAAUGGCGCAUACAAAGAGAAGCGACCUCGCGAGAGCAAGCGGACCUCAUAAAGUGCGUCGUAGUCCGGAUUGGAGUCUGCAACUCGACUCCAUGAAGUCGGAAUCCUAGUAAUCGUGGAUCAGAAUGCCACGGUGAAUACGUUCCCGGGCCUUGUACACACCGCCCGUCACACCAUGGGAGUGGGUUGCAAAAGAAGUAGGUAGCUUAACCUUCGGGAGGGCGCUUACCACUUUGUGAUUCAUGACUGGGGUGAAGUCGGAACAAGGUAACCGUAGGGGAACCUGCGGUUG